rnacentral:pre_miRNA from 1 species
CUGGAGGUAGAGAAGGCAAGAUGUCGGCAUAGCUGAUGUGACGUUAAAACUCCGGCUGUGUCACAUCAAGCCAACUUUCACU